rnacentral:rRNA from 1 species
UACGUAGGGUGCGAGCGUUGUCCGGAAUUAUUGGGCGUAGAGAGCUUGUAGGCGGUUUGUCGCGUCUGCCGUGAAAUUUCGAGGCUCAACCUCGAACUUGCGGUGGGUACGGGCAGACUAGAGUGUGGUAGGGGAGACUGGAAUUCCUGGUGUAGCGGUGAAAUGCGCAGAUAUCAGGAGGAACACCGAUGGCGAAGGCAGGUCUCUGGGCCACUACUGACGCUGAGAAGCGAAAGCAUGGGGAGCGAACAGG